rnacentral:rRNA from 1 species
UACAGGGGGUGCAAGCGUUUCUCGGAAUUACUGGGCGUAAAGGGCUCGUAGGCGGCCAACUAAGUCAGACGUGAAAUCCCUCGGCUUAACCGGGGAACUGCGUCUGAUACUGGAUGGCUUGAGGUUGGGAGAGGGAUGCGGAAUUCCAGGUGUAGCAGUGAAAUGCGUAGAUAUCGGGAGGAACAUCUGUGGCGAAGGCGACACCCUGGACCAGCACUGACACUGAGGCACGAAAGCGUGGGGAGCAAACAGG